rnacentral:lncRNA from 1 species
AAUUGCUGAGUCGGGGGUUGGGGGAGGACAUGAAGUUACAAUGGAAGCUCCAUGCUACUAUCAAAGAAAUUAUAAAAGGAUCAGUGCUGUUCUAAGAAACAUAAGGAUGAGUUCCCAGGAAAUAUUCAAGGAGUUAGAAGUACAAAGCUGCAAGAGCCUAUUGGGUCCAAGCCUUCCUUGCAGAUAUCUGAAAUGUUUGGAGGAGCAAAGAAGUGAAUGAACUGUAUUCAACAUCUAAGCUGGAAAAAAAAAAUGCAAGAUUCAGAAAAGGAAAAUACAAGCCAAGCCCCUCAUCCUCCCCAAAUAAAAUAUAUAUUUAAUAUAAUAAUAUGAACCCG